GCGAAUCUUAAGGGGUGCUAAGGUAGGCGCGCGAUACCUUGGCUGAGAUUACACCCAUUGAACCUGGGCAGGUAAUGCUGCCAAGGGAGUCAUGGUUCUUUUACAA
rnacentral:ncRNA from 1 species